GUGCGCGUGCACGUGUGUGUGUGUGUGUGUGUGCGUGCGCGCGUGUGUGUGCAUGCACAAAGCUGUGCUCGAGCCACCUCCAUGCUAAGCAUUUGGAGGGUGUGUAGGGAGAUACUCUGGGCAAAUGUACCAUAAUGGAAAACUGCUAGGUGAGAUCAAAGACUGGAAAGACUGGGGUUGGUCAAGGAAGAGUGUUGCUAAGAAGACACCAUUGGAGGAGGUGAUUGGGAAAUGACCCAUGACCUUGUCGAGAGGAACUCACUGGUUUUUGCAUAAACAUGCCCCAGGCCUAAAACUGAGAUUCUUCCUCAUUACUGUGCCUUAAGAAAUCAUGACUAUGAGAAACAUGGGAAGACUUAUAGGAACUGAUGCAAAGUAGAAUCAGCAGAACCUGGAAAACAAUUUACACAAUGACUACAAUGUAAAGUGAAAAAACCACCACAAUAAAACAAUCAAAAUGGAAUGCUGAGAAAUGAUAACAAUCAAGCUUGGCUCCAAAGAAGAGAUAUGAGAAGGAACUUCACCCCGCUUCUUCGCAGAGGGGAGGGACUUUGAUCAAGUAUUAUUGCAUAGAAUUUUUUUUUAUAUGUUGGCUUUGCUGAAUUUUUUUUUUGUUUCUCUUGUUUAUUCUCCAUUACAUGUUGGCUUUGCUGAAA